CGUUAUGACGACAAUGUUGAGGUUCCAAUUGUGGUAAAUAAUGUCGUAUAUACUCUGGCAGUUUCCUAAAUGUAUACUGACAUCUCGGUGUUUUCCAAUCUACACAUUUGUUAUCCAUGUCAUCCGUAAUGUAGAAAGAUAUUUGGUAAUGUCAUCCAUCAAAACCCUCACUUUAGUCUAAACUAUCAACAUAAACACUAGCAAAGCGAGCCAAUUGAAUAAAUACACCCUAAUAAGAAGCCAAAUUAAUAUCACUGUCAAAGAGAAAUCGACAACUUGUGUGUUGUUGUAUAAUGCUUUCCCGGGAAAAAAUGAUAUAUCCAAACAUUGAAAACAACCAUUAUAACUGUUUGUAAUAAAAUAAUUAUGUAAGUUUCCUAGGGUAAACUAUAACUAUAGAACUCGUAUCUUCAAAAACUCAACUAUACCAUACUAAUAUGGUAGUCACUGUGUGUAUCAUCAACUCGGUAGUCAUUGCUUUUAACUGGCAUAAUAAACCUUUAUUACAUCAUGUAAUCUGUUCAAAUUUUAAUAUGAAACCUUCGUUCUAACUCAGUGAUGAAAAUUUAACCUUUUAUAAAUUUGGUAAUUCUUUUCUAAACAUU
rnacentral:lncRNA from 1 species